AUAAUCAUUUGCCUCUUAAUUAGAGGCUAGUAUGAAUGGACAAACGUGAGUCAAGCUGUCUCUUCUCUAUAAAUAAAAAUUAAUCUUUAGGUGAAAAAGCCUAAAUACUAUAAAAAGACAAAAAGACCCUAUUGAGUUUUAUUUAAUAAAUUCUUAUUAAAUUUUUAAAAUUUUAUUGGGGCAAUAUAAAAUUAUGACCAACAUUUUUAAACCAAAGAAGUAUACUUCAUUUUCAACAACUUAAUAUUAAAUAAAAGAUAUGCUACUGUAGGGAUAACAGGCUAAUAUU
rnacentral:rRNA from 1 species